CCUGGGGUUGGAGCCCCACAGCCUGCCCGUCCGUAUGCUCCCAAGAGGUUUGAGCAGCCAGGCACUGAAGAAGCGAGUCACACCCACAUCGUGUGCCCUGCGACGGGGACAAGCAAACUUUUCCCAUUUCACUUAGGUACUCCCUAUUUAAUUGUGAACUUGGUAAGAAAACUAAGAGGAAACUAAGAGGUAUGUGAAAUCGAAUAAAAUGGCCGCAAAUCAUCCCAUUCCCUCUUUAGAUGAAGGCAGAGACUGCAGACUCAAGACCAGCACCCUGUAGGAUAAACACGAACAGCCCUUUGACAGCAAAAGCAACCAAGAAGUGUCUCCUGACCUGCGUUUAGAAAUAAAUAAAGGAACUCCAAUUCUAAAGAGCAAGUGGAGCCUUUUCUGGGGUGGGCAAGAAGUGUGUUCAUUACAGGUUGAAGAGCUCAAUACCAGAGGUCCAUCUUGACAGCUCUUCUAAUUCUCACGGAGUGUGGCCAGGGAUGCUCCUCGGCUAAUCUCCACCAGAUGUUGUGAGAUUGUCAACAUUUCCCAAAGCUAUUCCAAUUCCCCAAGACAAUUAAGACCUAUAAUCAGAUUUCAAAGGACACCUUCCUACAACAUUAAACCACAGUACCUUACAUAAUGAGAAAAUCAGAAUGAACGAUAGAAUUUACAUUGAGUACUAUUUCAGUCUUCAAAGAGCUGAGAUAAAUUAUGAUUUUUAUCUUCACAGCACUUCUAUGGCACAGGAAGAAGCAGUACUGGGUGGCCCUGUCUGACAGCUGAAGAAAGUGAGGGCUGCUGGGAGCCCAUGCCGCACUCUGUCACAUUAAGAUGGCAGCACAAGAGCCCAGGUCUGCUGUGCCUGGUGCCCCGCCCUUAGUAUCAUACCUUCCCAGGGAACAUCUUCUCAGGCCUUUGAGGUACGCACCCCAGAGUAAUCACACAUUUGCACCCCUAUCUCCUCUCUGCUUACCUCAAACCCAUGUACUCACUGUACAUUCACACACUCUAGCAACCCUGUGCCACUGUCUGCCCUGCAAACCUCACCCCACUCAUCCAGUCAAGGUCAAGGAUGGGAUUCUAUCUCCACAGAAAGAUACAUACUCGGGUGACAUAGAUGUUUGCUCAAUAAUUAUCCGUUACAUUGGACAGAUAGUUUUAAGUACUCUUCUGCAUUCUAUCUCCAAAAAAAAAGGAAAAAAUAAGAGAACAUUCUGUGAUGAGAAAAAUGGUUAACUUUCAUCUUAUUAAAAAAUUAUUUUCUUGCCUAUAUUUGUUGACAGGUCUUGACAGAAUUUUGACCCCCUCAUGAUCCCAAUCUUUGCCUGGGGAUCCCUGAUCUCUCUGUCCAGUCAGCUGUCCUCUUUGAUUGUGACCUCCCCCUGACCUGGCCUUAGGUCCAUAUUCCCCCCAGGCAGAAUGGGCCUCAUUAGCCAAAGAACUGGGCUCUUAAAUUCUAGGAACCUAAUCUCAAGGUCUACCUCGCCCACAUGUGGACACAAGGGAACAUCAAGAGUUCUCUAAGUUAGGUAGGACUUUAUAUGAAAAUCCCAAAAAGGAUAUAUUGAAAAUGACCCAACACAUACUUUGAAAUGAAAAUAAUACACAAUUUGUUAGACACAUGGAGAAGGGCAUUGUAUCCAGGCCAGAACCUAGAAACCUUGGAACUCAUGACCUCUGACUCAGAGGUCAGCCUUCAUGCUGCAGACCAACGGCUUCUUAACUGUCACAGAACUUUGGGAAAGCUCUUAACUGCCACUGACACGGUGUCCAGCCAUAUCUCUUGAUGAACCUGAAGGAGGAGGAGCUCUGCAGGGAUGUUUGAAACCAGUAAUAUUCAGAUAUUCCUGCCGGACUGAGUAUCUCAGAAAGAAACCAGACUGAAGGGGAAAAGUACAGGAGUUUCAGGAGGAAAUUCUUACGAAUAAAAAUGUUCAGCCAAGGGCAUGACAGAGCAACAAAGCCCGUUGGCUAGGCAGCAGGGGUGGGCGGUUCCCUGGGAGGCUGGGUAGAGCUUGACUAGCAUCCGUGUGCUCCAGAAAAGAGAGGGCUGUGGUGUAAAGGAACAGUGCCACAUGCACUCCAGCACCAAUGGAGGGGUGAUCCACGGGAGCCAGUGGCAGGCGGGGAGCGGCCUCUGUGAGGGGAACAGAGUGGGAGAAGGGGCAGGGGGCUAUCGGGCACGUGGCAGAAGUGGCCAUGCCUCCCUCCAGGUGCUUCUGGGAGCAAAGUGAUCUAGUAGAUCACUUUGGGCAUUCAUAUCCCAAAUGAAAACACACCUAGAGAUCCUGAGGAACGUUUUGGAAGGGGGAUCGUGAGAGGGUGAAAUAGAAUUUUUGCUGGGAAAAGAAGCAGGAGGAGGGGGAAUUACAAGGUCACUGUAAAUGUGAAGUGUGUGUACUUUCUGACAGAUGAAACUUGCUAGAAACAAAAAGAUUCGUGUGACAGGUGCUGCUAUGAGCCUGGAAUUUUUCCCUGCUAAGAAAUGGAUGGUAAGCCUUACCAUCUCAGGAGUAGGAAAAUAUCCUGGUUCAGUCUCAGUCCUCUUCCUCGUGACCAAUGUCCUAUGUCUCAUGGAGCAGAUUGUCACUGGGGGGUCUUCUUGCAGCAGUGUCCUUAUUCCUGAGACCUGGACUUCACGUCGGCGGGUGCUGGAGGGACAGUCUCUGCAAUGUCAUUCUUGUUUAUUUCAUGUGCAGCUGUGCCUCUCUCCACUUGGGCUGGUGAAGUUUGCAGUGGCCGCAAAAGACCUCUCAGGCAAGCCCAAGCCUGCUGCACCUGUUUCUGUGUUCUCUUUGGCAACUGCAUUUUCUCUUUGGGAACUAGCUUCUUCCCGAAUGCUGUGGUUAUCAGAGGGGUGUUUUAAACUAAUCCCAACAGCUAAAUACAAACUCAAAAAGAUUCUCUGUUGAACAUUAAAAAAAAAGCAGAGGGGAUGGGGGCAGUGGGAGGAGGAGGUUUGCAUUUUAACAUAAAAAGCUGCUUGAAAUUAGAGGUGAAGUUUCCCCUUUUAGUCUAAAAUACGGAUAUUCAUCCAUUCUUCAUGCAACGAGAGACAAAGAGCUUCUCUCCAGUCUUCCACCACAUACAUACUCUUGGCCAUAGUCGCCAAUGACAAAUAUAUUUGGCCAAUUUUGUACCUGUAAUUAAAGCAAACCUCUAUAGAGAAGGCCCUCAGGCCAGCCCCGAGACUCCGCUGACCACUUCUACUCAUUUUGUUUCCUAACCUGCCCCUCCCAGUCUCCUGAGGCCCAACCUGUUGCCAACUGUGACCUGGCUGAGCUGCUUGCUGGCCCUCCUUUUGUCCUCUGCAGAAGGCCAGCAGGACCCAGCUAACAGCUAGUGCUUACAGGGAGAAGGGUCUCGACAGUGGGUUUAAAUUAAGAGGUAAAAGUAGACACUGCAAUCUAUAGAGACAGGUUCAGAAGUUAGAAAUUCAGGUUUCCCUGAGAAUCCCCUAGGGUGGAAGUUCACACCUCUGGCAAAGGCCUCGUGACACUACGGAAAGCUCACAGCUUUCGCUUCUUAUUCUGCGGUGAUCGUUGGGUGAGUUUGGACAGGCCACUGAAUUUCUGACCUUAGUAUUUUAUCUAGAUUUCCAGGAAGUUGUGAGAAAGCUGUAGAGGCUAAACCUUGAGAACUCUGUGGAUCUAAUGAUCAGAAGUAGGAGGUACUGUAGUGUCAGCCUCAGGUGGCAUUAGCUCUGCACCCUGCUCUAUACCUGCCACCUCUGCAUGGCCCUCGGAAGCCCUAGUCGCUGACUUUUCUCUGUCUCCUGACUUUGGUAGUUCAUUAAGGCCACUUGCCUUCGAGACAUUCAGGACCCCUGAAAAGAAGCCCUUGAAGAGGGCUAUUUUCUUUACCGUCGCAUUUCCUAGCACGUUGAACAGCAUUGAAUAGAAAUCUUCUCAGCUGCAAAAAAGAUGUCUGAUGUCCAACACCAGAGCAGCCUCAUUGUGUCAUCUUUUCCUUUCUUUUGAUUCCUUUAAAUUAUUUUUAAUUUUUUAUAAAAAUGUCUGUCUUAUGAGUUGUGUUACAUUCCCCACUUAAAAGCUUAGGUGAAACCCUAUGGUUGACAAGUUAAAUCCUUGGCAUGAAUUUUUUAAAUUUUUUUGCAGUUUGCUCCAAGCUUUCCAAUGUCACCUCCUGUCUCCUCCUCCCUCUCUGUUAUGCUAAUAAUUCAGAGCUUGUCAGUGAGCUCCGAUGCUAAACAAAACACUCUCAUAGCUCUGAUUUUGCUUAUGUUGCUGUUCCUUCUCUCUUCUGGGGAACAUCUCCUCUGCCUGUAAAACAUGCUUCUGCCAUAAUUUCUUGUGAAUCACCUUGUUACCCCACCUGCUUCAUAUCUCCUUCAAAGGCCCCUGGCCUCCCCACACCUCACUGCAUAUUCUGCAUAAUCAGCUUCAUUUUAUUGUGGUUGUAUUCAGCCUUUUAUUAUUUAACUUUUCAUAUGUGUCUUCUCAACUGUCAUAAGUUUUUUAAGGCGAGAGUGAUGGUUCUUAGAUUACUUUUAUACCCCUCAUGUUACCUGACACAAUAUCACCCAUACAGCUCUACAGUAAAUAUUCAAUUAAAACACAGGAGUAGAGGCCAGGUGCAGUGUCUCUCUGCUAUAAUCUCAGCACUUUGGGAAGAAGAAGCAGGGGGAUCACUUGAGGCAAGGUCAAAGACCAGCCUGGACAACAUGGUGAGACCCCAUCUCUACAAAAACUUUAAAAAUUAACUGGGUGUGGUGGCACACACAUCUGUAGUUCCAGUGACUUGGAAGGCUGAGGCAGAAGGAUUGCUGGAACCCAAGAGUCCAAGGCUGCAGUGAGCUAGGAUCACACCACUCUAGCCUGGGAGACAGAGAAGAUCCUGUCUUUGUAUACAUAUAUGAAUAGAAGACAUAUCAACCAACCCCUUUGAAAAUAUACCCACCUUAAGUUUUCUUUCUAAACCUGCCACAUCUAUCUCUAACCAGGCACUUUUCCAUCUUUUAACUACCUUCAGUGUUCAAAGUCAGUUGACCAACAUCAAUUGUAUUGUACACAACUAACUCCUAGGCAGGAGGUAACUGAAGUCAGUUUUGCAGACAUGAACCAAUGGCCAGUAGAGGUGUUCUGGACAUUGGUGGGUGAGUCCGUCCCACUGAGGGAUGGGGGAAAAAAGUCAUGGGGGAAAAAAACAAGUGUCUUAAAGAUACACCUUUAGCGAGUGAGGAUGAGUUAGAACCUCUCUAGGCAUUCUUAUUUUAGGUAGAUAAACUGUGUUGGUUUUUUUUAAGUUUAAAAUGGAGUUUGUGAGAAAACAGAAGAGGUAGCUCAAUACAGCUUUUGCUUUGUGGAUGCCACUUAGGUGCCAAAUUACAUCCUCAAAGUCUUGGUUAUCAACCUUCUCAAAAGAAAUCCAGCUGAGUUUCCUCUCCAGUGAUUUCCCUUAGAAUUAAGAGAGGAGAAUGAUUUGUUGUAGGUAAUUGGAGAACUGAAAGCAGAAUGGCUUUUAAAGUAUGAAGAAAGCUACUGUAGCAUUUUAGAUCAUUAUUGCCAAUGAUCUCCAGGAUAUAUAUCAUAGAUAUUUAUAUAACAUAGGUAGUAAUGUACCUCAGAACUCAAACACAGUGUAUACUGUCAGUACACCUUGAAAUUGAAAAAAAAGCCUUAAAAAAUGAAUGCUGUUACUCCUCUCGACUAAAGAAAGCCUUUGAUCCUAAACUACAGAAUUCUGCAAAAUAAUUAACAUUGUCUUGAGGUGACCUUUUCUCAUAUUCUCUCUGAGCUUUCUCAAUCUUCCAAAACAGGGCUAAAUAAUACAAGCCUUCCUAGUUAGAAUAAGUUCAUCCUGCUGAGAAAUCCAAUUUUUUUCAAAGCCAAAAUAAGCCAUGAAUUCAACCACUCAUCAAAGACUGGGGAUUAUGAAGAUUCCUGGCUCUUGGGGCUAUUACUUGCUUGCCAGAAAUAUCAAAAGACAUCAGGGUUCGUUAUCCUUAACACAACCUAUUUGAUUCAAAGACUCUUUGAGCGGUAGUCAUGCACACAGUAAUCACAGCCUAAACCGUGUCAAUGUUCUGAACAGACACUGGACAGCAUUGUAGCAAGAGCCUGUGACGGGGUUUUCAGUCCUGAAGUCAGAAUCCACUGGAUAAAGUUUAUGAAGAGGGCUUCGUCCUCUUAGUAUGUGAUUUCCAGAAAUGUGAAUGUUCACGGAGAGCACAUAUCUUAUUAUUUUCACCUGUGAUGCUCUUGUAACUGCACCCGCAGCUCCCUGUCCCUUGCCACUCCAGUCUAUUCUUUACUAUGUAAAUCAAAGUAUCUCUGCAAAAUGCAAAUCUGAUUGUCUCUUCCCCAUUGAAAAUGGCUUAAAAGUCCUCCAUUGCUUUAGGAUAAAGUCCAAAUUCCUUAUUUUGGCUUACAAGCUAAAAUCUAGUCCUGGAUCCAGUCCUGGCCUACCUCUCUAAUUUUCUUUUUAACUUUACCACCUACCACCUACCACCCCCACACAUCUCCUCUGCUUUCCAACUAUAUUGAAAACAUUUAAUUCUGUAUGUUCUCUUGUCUUUGGCAUUUUGUUCCCUCCUCUCCUGCUCCCACAUACUCAUAACGUAGACUUGAUUUCAUAAACACACAUGCUCCUCUUUGCACAAACUCAUGUCAGAAUAUGUAUUUCGGGUGCUGUAAAGAAUAAGAUUUAACUGCUACUAACAAAUUCUGUAGUGACAUUACACACCAACUUUUUGGGAAUCUAAACACUGUAAAAUUUUUGUCUUGGUGACCACCUUCCUCCCUGUCACCAAGUGAGUAUGAAUGCUUGACAUUAGAAAAUAAUUUAUAUUUCAAAUCAGAGGCAACUUUAUCAUGGUAGAGUGCUCUGGCCUCCUUUCUGGAUGCCUUACAUUGUUCACUAAUGAGAUAAAAUGUGGCGGCCCCAUCCGUCUUGGUUUGUUUUGGCUUGGUCUUGACUGUAAAAGAUUGUACAGUAACAUUAAUGAGAUAUUUAAUUCACUAAAGAGAUCUUUAACUUCCUCAUUUGCUAGAUUAAUAGGAAGAUAAUCUAGGGAAACAAUGAAAUACCAUUCACCUACCCAAUUUUUAAUAGAUUUCAUAGUCUCUGUGGGCCCUUGGAAAAAGCAUCAUGGUACUUUCUGCAGUUACACAGAAAAAUAAUUUUGCAUUUGGAUACAUUAUCUCUCUACCUCUAAGCUUAUGCUUUCACGCACUGAAAUGCAGACUCACAUGUAGUAAGCAUCCAGAUAUUUUGUUGGUUAUUGGUUAUUGCCAGCAUAUCUAGUAAAUGAUCUGAAUUCAAUUUUAAGCUGUCUUAAUGUCAAAAAAAAAAGCAUAUCUUUACCUAACUUUAAUCCAGUAAGUUUUUACUAAGAAUUUACUGUAUUUUAAGGCCUUUGCUCCUUGAAAAAGCCCUCAUUUAGAUUGAGCUGUCUGUGUAACUAUUAGGUGUGCCCAGGAUAUCCUGGAGUGAAUGCUCAAACAUUGGCCUUGAUGCCAGGACUCCCCUGGAUGGUGGUCUGGCUUCCCUGAGCCUCCUGAUGCUUUGGGCAAGGUUGGCACCCCUGCCUAAUUCUCAGAGGCUACAUGGCUGUAUGCAGACAGCUGGUGUGUCACCUGUCUCACUAUGCCUUUGUAGAAAUGCUGCCUGGAUGGGUCAUGAGAAUGAGGGAUUUCCCAUAUUAAGUUCUUAAGAUUACUUCUUACAGAAUUGCCACAAUCAAAUAUUUAUACAAGCGGGUCACUAUUCAACCAGAACUGACCCAGCAUCUCCUGUGUCAAGUCACCCGGGAGAUCCUGAAGUUGAAUUCAACCAUGUUUGUGAAGUGACUGCUGGGGACUGUGCACAGGGCAGGGGCCAGGGUGGUCUUGAUGGAUCACCCACAGCCCUGCCCUGCCUGGACAAUCUUACUCCAAAUGGCAGGAGCUGAGCCUUGUGCUCCCAACCCUUCCCUGGCAUUCACAGAGGAACACCGUUAAUACUGAAUCAACAAAUGAAGUGGGAAGCUUUUUGAACUAGAGGAGCUUGUUAUUCUAAAGAACAAAGCCAGCUCUUUUUUAAAAAUACUUGAGAACACAGUUGAAACAAGAUGCAACCAAACUUGAGAAUUCAUACACUCAAGAAUAGAUUUGAUAGUAUGGAUUUCAUUUUCUAUUUAAAACAUAGGCAAUCUACCGAGACACAAGCUGCCAUAUCUCUCUGCAAGCAUGCUGCUAGGGGCCAGGGGAAAGAGCCUAGAGGUGUUGAGAUGAAAAGUUACCUUAGGAGGGUGCCUUUAAAUUAGUCCCAGAUGGCCCUCACCAAAUUUCAUCUAGCAAGUGGUGGGGGCCACUCCUCUGUUGCCUCCCUAACACAAGCAGGUGAAGCUGUGGGGCCAGGUCCUCCUCAAACAAGGGAGAUAAAGGGAGUCCCAGGAAUUGGGGACCUGGCCUAAGAAGGUGACAACUAAGAGGCUGGGCUUGUCCUAAGCCUCUCACAGUCAUGCUAAGGGGGGGGCUAGAUUGGAGAGGAGAACUGAAAGGCCCACUUGAGUUGAGGAGGUCCAUCCUCCUUCCCUUGAUCCCCCAAAUCACCCAGGGAUUCUAAAUGGCAAUCUGAAUCACCAAAACCAGGAAAAGGAACCUGGGACCCAUCAGCCCUGCUGCGCCAUUUGCGAGAUCAACCCUGGACCUGGUGACCCAUGUUUUGGGAAUGGCUUACAUUUGUAGUGGCCAACAGGUGCAUCUUAGGAAUUCUGGGGUUUAUGAGCCUGCAAGGUGGCUGUUACAGCCUCUGCCUUUUUCUUGAGCCUCCUUUUCCUCUCUUGGGCCUUCUGAUUACUGUUGCAAAAGACCAAGGCGGCCACUUGCAGGAGGUACUACCUGGUUCUAUGGCCUAUUUCUACAGCUUCUUCCUAAUAGCAGCAGCUGCCUGAUCUCCUAGGACCAGCUGUCCCUCUACUGAAUCAGGAGAUAGAGGGGUGUGUUUUACCAAGACCCCUCUUAGCCUUUCCAGGAAGGCACUAGGACUCCCAUCCAAUCCCUGAUCUACCAUGGAUAGCCCAGUUCAACUGAGAGGCCCAGGCCCAGCUCCUCACAAGCCCUCCAGUAUACACACCUGAAAGUUUUUCCUUCCAUUGUCCCGUUUCAUCACUGGGAUCCCACUAGGGUACUCCAAUGGUACUGCUAUUCUUCCAACUGGAUAAGGUUCCUCUCCUUCCCUGUUCCUAUACAAGAUGUAAAUAAAGUUCAUCCCCAACAUUCUUUGUCGCUUGCCAAGAAUGGCCUACUUUUCAGGGUUUGAUUCAAAAAGGAACAUGGCCGUCCUUCCAGAAGAGUUUAAAUACUUGGGUUAAGCUGUGGAGAGCCUCUCUCUCUCUCUCUCUCUCUCAUAUAUAUAUAUAUAUAUAUAAUCAGGGCUGUCUGAAAACCUGCCAAGAUCCCCCUUAAUUUACUUUAAGUCCUGAAGAGAAAAGGGGACCAGGACCUUAAUGGGGCCAUGUUCACCAGACAUCUGUUGUAGGGGCAGCUGAGACUGGGACCUGCCUAAAAUUAGGAUUCCUAGGCUGGGGUAAACUUGAGAGAGAACCUGGAUAGGGAGGGAGGAACAGAGGUGGAUUCCCCUGCUGGAAGUACCUCUGGGGUUUGCUUCCCUGCUUCCCUGGGAUUGCCCUUGUAACCUCCCCUGAAAUGGCCACUAGGAGGGUUGAAUCAAUCCUACAAUGUUGGCAAAGGUCUGUGUUAGGGUUAUCCUGCAAGGCAAAGAAGGCCUGCACAUAAGGGACCUUGGACCACUUGCCCUCGUGUUCACAGAAAAGCUUCCUUCCUGAAGCAGGGCUGCUUUUCUGUGCCUCAAGGUGCCUGGCACUAAGUUGCAACCAAGUAAAUUACAAGGUCAUUUUCACCACGAAUUUACUUACAGAUACCAAGGCACACUUGCUUUGGCUGUGCUACUCAACCUUCUGUUUUAUACUUUCAAUGACUAAGCUAAAUGCUCAUUCUAGGCAGUAACAUCCCUGGUUUGCAACAAACAUCCUUAACAUUCAACACUGUAUAGAAAAGAGAUAGGAACCAUGACAGCCGCCAAAGAAAGCAAGAAAUAAACAAUAGGAAAGACUGGAGGUCCUGGUGCCAAUGGGCAGUCAGGGACUGAGGUUAGUACAGAGGCCUUUGGAUAGAGACUGAGGUGUGCUCUCGGCCAGAUACCCUCAGUUGCCCCAGGACCUCCUUCCAGCCCCACACAAUGGCUAGACCUCCGUGAGGGGAAACUGAGUUGAAAGAAAGCUAACAUUCCCAACACCUGAGGGUGAUGGGGAGUUGACAGUGUCCUCCCCAGCAAGCCUGUCCUCUGUGUCUUGAGUCCUACAGCUGUGCUAGUCACUUUUAACUGGCUGACAGAGACUCAGUAGUUUUCCUCCAUUUUGACUAUUGCGGAGUUUAAAGACUCUCAAAAACAGGACAAAAUCAUUUUUACUCACCUUUCUGUAGAUGCUGAACAAGCCCCCAAAACGUUACGGGAUCUCUGGUUGGUUGAUUUUUCUGGCCGGAAAUCCCUCCGUGGUCGUGGAGUCUUUGACAGAGUUCUUCUCCUGUGUCCAGGAACACAGAUAAGUGAAGGGUGAAGAAGAAAAGUUUUUUUUUUUUUUUCUAUUAUAGGUAAAAUUCCUUUGGGUGAAUUACUCAGUUUUUUUUUUUAUUUUAAGAGAGAAAGAAAGAAAGAAAAAGGAAUGAAGAAGAGGAAAAAAGAGGAAGAAGAGGAGGGAGAGAGAAUGGGAGUGUUGCUUAAUUGCCCAGGCUAGAAUGCAGUCUAAAAAUGGGUAUUGAAAACCUCCCUUAAACCAUCAAUUGUGCUUAAUAAUGGCCAAGCAAUAUUUCAUUUAAACCUGUGAGUAGGUGUGAUGUGGUACUGAUAAGAGUGCAUGUCUUACGCACUCUUAUGCAAGAAGAAAACUUUUACUUAGUGUUAGAACAGCUCAGAGGAGCGGGUAGCAGAUGUCCAGUGCUCAGCUCUCAUCGGAGAGGAGGCCCUGCAGAGAAUUGCUUCUCUUGGCAGACAAGAAAGUAUCUCCUCUCUGCUGGCAGCUUGUCUCUGCAGCUGGUUGUCCUGUCUCUCUGUCCUCUUCUGCCUCUGGUCAUCUGCCCCACUCUGGCUGAGCCCACGGAUUUUACAAACCUCAGAGGGGAGGAAGUGCAUGCCUGUUGGUCCAUGGGUGGACCUGGAAGAGGCACCAUGAGUCCCCACUCCAGUUGGCUGGACUGGCAGCCAGGGCCUACGCCUUAGGCUCUCCCCUGGCCUGAAGGUGGAGCCUUACUGGGGGGACUUGACCCCUUCUGGUUAGGAAUCAAUCUGCCUCCUGGUGUCAUUCAUGGCCCCAGGGCUCUGCCUUAGUCGCCAGCUCAGAGACCUGAACAGGAGUGCCUGGAACAAAGAGGCCAGGCUGUGGGAACAGAUGCCUCUGAGCCUGCAGGGACAGCGGGGUUGAGGGGGGCUCCUUCCUGGGGCUCCCAAGGGUGCAGGUUGCAGAGAUACCUGGGUCCUGUGCCUGGGAAGGCAGCCACAGAUGCACCCCACCCGGGAGCUUCCACCCUGCCAACUUGGAAGAGGCAGGGCUCAUGUCUCCUGCCUGCUUCAUGGAGCGGGAGGUCCAGGUCUGCAGCCGAGGCAGGAGGGCAGAUCCUGCCUGUUCCCAGCUUCCCCAAGAGCACAGGGAGGCGCCAAACCACAGUUGCAAGUUUGGGCGGCUGUAGCCUACUCUGCAGAGCAGGAGGCCUGGGUCUGCAGCUGUGGUUUGGGUGGCUGCAGUGGCAGGGAGAAUGCCCCACACCAACUCAGAACAUGCAGGUCCCCCACUGGGUCUAUGAAGUAUGCAGCCCCAGCUCGCCCCCUGCUGCAGCUGGAAUGAUGGCAGCAGUCACUGCCAUCAGAGGCAUCAGGAGAAAAAGAAGCAAUGGAAUUUGGUCUCUGAAUGGAUUAGGAAAGACAGAUAGUUGAGAGACAUAGAAAUAAAACGUAGUUGGAUUCUGACUCCCCCGGGUGCCCGGUCCUCUCACGCACACAGCUGUCCCUUAGCCCUGGAGGGAGGCUGUGGCCUGUGGGGCACUGACUCACACACUUGUGUGUGGGACGUGGGGAUGGGAGGGUGGGCAGGCUCGUCUGUUGGUACCUCUGCCAUCCUUCAGUGCUCAGCAGCCUGUGCUACAUUCAGGGAUUGCUGCUCAUUGCCACAGAAGGUUUUUUCCAAAAGCCAAGCCGGCUCAAGUCUGUUUGGAAGCUCUGUGAGAGAAGGGGAAAGGGCAGGCAGGGGAGGGGCAGAGAGGGAAGUAAAGAGAAGGAUGAGACCUACAAGAGACUUCUUGGAUGUCACUAAUGUUGUCAUUUCCUUGAAAAGUCACACAAGUGUUGGGUUUACAAGUAUUUGUUAAACUGCUUGGACUUAUGCAUUUUUCUGUAUAUUGUUUUGUUUUGUAACAUUAAAAAAUGUUCAGAUGAAAACAAAGAGAGCAUGAGAACCUGAAUUAAGCAAGCCCCUUCCUUGCAUCUUAGUAACUGUAGAACUUUGGGCAGUAAAAAUAAGAGUAAAAGCUGUCUAAUGCUGCCAGUGUCCCUGUACUAAACGUGCACUAACUCACAGCGUUCUGUGAGUUAGAGAUAUAGUGCCCUUUGUACAGAAGAAGACACGGCUGUUAGCAAGGUAAAGAGGUCUGCCCUGUAUCACUCAGCCCGUAAGAUGCAGAGCCAGGUUUGGGCAUCAUGUCCUAUUAGGUCUACCCAGAACCUGCCCUCCUGCAGCGACAUAGAACAUGCCCUGCAAGGCCUGUUUGUGCCUGGCAGCGGUACUCACAAAUAAAACCACACUGUCAGGCUAUCCCUGGAGAUGAGUCCAGAAAAAGGCCCCUUCAUGAGAUUGGAAUUAGGAGAUUUGGUCUUGACAGCAUGAUUGAAAGUCUGCACUGGCAAGACAUGCUUAAUUAAAUGUGAUGGUUUUAACUGCUUCUGAAAGUAUACUUUAGGUUGAUGCAAUGUUUCUGCUGGGUUGUAUCAAAGAGAAUGCCUGAGAGGUUUGCUGCUUGAAAUACAUUAUAGCGGGAAGAGUUUAAAGUGCUUCAAGUGGUUUUUAUUUUUGUUAAGGGAUGUAUCAAAAUAAUGGAAACAUAAUUGACUCCCUCUGUGGUUCCUGGUGUGGCCUCUGGCUCUGAGAUACAUCAGCCAAUACCCUGAAGUCUGUGUACAAUAGUCCCUCUGCCCCUAAGCAACAGCAACAUGGACAGUCCUUGGGUCCUGAUGACCCUGGAGAGCUCUGGCUGAUGGAACUCAUCUUCUUCCAGUCUUGAAAAAUGACUCAGCACCUGGAGACUGAAGAUCAUCUGAAGCAUUAUCCAGUUGCUGUCUUCUGCUGCACAAGCAAGGGUUAUAAAACCAUGCAUGGAUUGAGGUUCAGGAUGUGGGGAUCUUGAGUGAUUGUAAAUGGCUCUAUGUACCUGAGCCAAGACCACAGAUUAUGUGGAAAUUUAUUCCACUGUGACCUAUCUGGUCCCUGAAAGCUCCUAUGCUCAUAACCCCAGUACUAUAAUGGCAUCCUCAUAUUUCCCCCAAAAGAGGGGUGCUUAGGCCUGAAUAUAAGUGGCAGAGGGAAGUUCAAGGGGGCAUGCAAGCCAUUAACAUGUACAUUUUCUUAAUGUAUUCAAUUAAAUAUUAAGACUGUGUUGCUGAACACCAGGGGUUUGGCCUAGGUCCAGUGGCUUGUCACACAGAAUGCCAAUCACUGAGACAAUGAGUAUUGCCAGGAAAGGAAAGCUUUAUUGCAGGGGAUGUCAGCCAGAGAGACAGGAGGCAAGUCUCAAAUUCAUCUCUCAGUUCAACUAAAGUUAGGGGUUCGUAUAGUGGAGAAGGAAAACAGGGAGACAAGGAAGAGGAGUUGGUCAACAGGCAGCAGGGGGUCAGAUGAGAGAUCUAGCUCUUUGUAACCACAUGUGUGCAGCAAAGCAGGAAUGAGGGAGGGGUAAGGAAGAGGAGUUGGCAAACAGACAGCAGGUGCAUCUAUUGUUCAGAUGCAGUGACUUAGAGAGCCUCAGUUCCCUAAUUUGGUCCGGGAGUCCUGAUGAUCAGAUUCCUGAGACAGGAACUUAGAUAAGAGAAAUAAAUCUAAGUUUCUCAAGCUUCAGUUCCAAAGGAAAACUGGGCUGGUCUCAGUCCCCCCUUUCUAUUUAAUCAAUUCCUUAAUCACAAGGAAUCUGGUCAUCGAUCUUUCUGUCUGCUUGACGCUGACGAGAGAGGCACACUGGGAUAAUGAGGAGGAAUGAAAAUGUUGCAUGUGUAAUCAGAAGUACCACGAGUACCUGGUUGGCAUCUAGCUUAUUGGAAUACCAUAAUCUGGGUACUUUUAUUACUGGUUUUAGAACAACAUCUUAAGCCACAAUGAACUAGGAUGAUCAAUAAUAUAGGUAACCCAAUUUUAAGAUAAUACAGAGUAUGGAGUGGAUCCACAGGGGGAAUCAAAGAGAACAAUCUUGGGCCUACCCACAAGUCUUCCUGAUUCAUCACAUCCCAGCCAAAUGGAGUGCUGUUUGGGUCACCAUCAAGGGAAAAGAGGCACUUACCUUCUUCUAGGAAACAGGGGGACUUUGUAGUCCCUAAAAGAUGUUUCAUAUAAGGCAUGCUCAGAACACUGUUUUUUUGGGGUUUGCAGAAGUUCAAAUGUGCAGGUAGGGACAUAACAAAUAGCUAUGAACUGGUUGGAUUAAGGGGUUGCUAUGGUCUAGAGCAGAUUGGGUUUGUUUUUGAGACAGAGUCUCACUCUGUUGCCCAGGCUGGAGUACAGUGGUAAUUCUCAGCUCACUGUAACCUCUGCCUCCUUGGUUCAAGCAAUUCUUCUGCCUCAACCUCCCAGGUAGCUGGGAUUACAGGCAUGUGGCACCAUGCCCAGCUAAUUUUUGUAUUUUUAGUAGAGAUGGGAUUUUGCCAUGUUGGCCAGCCUGAUCUCGUACUCCUGACCUUAAGUGAUCCACCCACCUUGGCCUCCCAAAGUGCUGGGAUUACAGGUGUAAGCUACUGCACCUGGCCAGAUUGGAGUUUUGGGUGACAUAUAUAACAGUGACAUAAACUGGCCAAUGAAGCAAGAACUUCACUGUGAAAUACAAAUUAAUGAGUCAUCCAUCUGGGAGCAGGAAGGAUCUGGAGAACAAUAGCAACCUGAAAAGCACAGAUUUUCUUUAUGAUUUCUUAUGUAGGGUUCUUUGGCUGAGCUUUGAAUAUUAACUUAAGGCCAUGGGAGUGUUCACUAGACCCUGACUGUUUCCCUGGAGGGAUUCCAUAGAAUGGAUUGGUGAAUCCAUGGUUUAACACUGGCUAACCUGACAGACGAGUUGAGUGGUCAGCAGCACCUCAAAAGGGCCUACCCAUUGUGGUUGCAGCUGGUGGGAUUUCCAGGUCUUCAGCCUUGGUUCCUGGUUUCAAAGAGUGGACAGGCAUGUUUGCAGGGAAGUGGAGUUUGUUGGAAACAGAGAGACUAGUCAAUAUACUUCGUAUAUUUCCUAACUGUUUUAUAUGUGACCUAGUUUCUGUUCCAGGGGAGGAAAAAUCUUCAAGUGACAGGGAGUCUGGGAGUCAGGGAAAUGGUCUCCCAUAUAAUAUUUCAAACAAGCUAAGAGCCAACCCACUUCUCAGGGGCGAGGAGGGUUCCCAUACCCUCAGCAGAGCAAGGGGAGAAAUCUUUUCCCAGGUAAGCAUUGUCUCUCAGCAAAAUUUAGAGACUUCUUUAAUGUUCAAUUCAUUAGAGUUCCUGGGAGUCCAUAUCAAGGAAUUAUUUUGUCCAUUAGAGCUUUUACAACUUCAGUAGCUUUCUGAAGCUUGUGGGGUAAGCCUCAGCCCAGCCUGUGUAAAGGUAUCAACCAAAACCAAAAAAUAUUCAGGGCUGGGGGCAUUAUGGCAAAAUCUGUUAUCAGACUUCUCUAGGAUUAGUACUUCUCCAUUGAGUUCCUUGUUUAAAAGGAGUUUUUGUGCCUUCCAGGAGCUUUGGGUUAUUUUUCCGGCAGAUAGGACAAUUUUGGCCUAUGGUUUGUAUUGUUCAUUGCAAGUCAGGCCCAGCAAGAUAAGACUGUAUCCAGUGUAGACCAGCCCCCCCACCCAUAAUGGGUGUUUUGAUGGAUUUUCUCAAGAAUCAGUCUAAUCAAAGUUUUUGGAAAGAGAAUUUUUAUUUCAUUAAGCCAUUGAUGAUUGGCAUGUUUAGAAAAGCCCCAGUCCUCAGCUCUUUUAAGAUCAGCCUCCAAAUAUCUUGGGUGAUGGGACUCCAAACAGAGUGGGAACAACAGGCGUCUGGGUAGGGGGUUCCCUGGCCGCCUUGUUCACCUGGCUAGCCUAGCCUUCACAUUUCCCUGUGCAGCAUGAGUGCCUGCCUUCUGGUGUCCUUGACAGUGAACAAUUUUAUUUCUUUGGGCGUUUUUCUGUUUCUAAUCAUUCAAACAUUUGAGGACCAUGUUUUGUUAUUGAAAGUGAGGUGGCCCUUUUCCUUCCAAAUUAGCCCUUGAAAAUGGGCCAUUAGAAAAGCAUAUUUGGGUGUCAACAUUGAAUUGCUUUCCCUUACUGGAUAUAGAGUUCUGGCUAAAGCUCAGCCCUUUGGGUGCAUGUUCCCGGGGGAAGGGCUUGCACCUAGACUACCUGCUGAGCAGUAACUGCAGCAUCCCUGGCCCCUCUGAAUCCUUGCUCCAUGAAACUUUGGUCAGUGAAGAACUCUUUGUCGGGGUCUGUCAAUGGCAAGUCUGUGAGGUUCAGUCUGCUAGAGUAAACCCGAUCAAUUAUUUGAAUGCAGUUAUGAACAGGAACUGGAGUUUCCCUGGUAGCAGGGUAGGCAGGAUUCAGAGUAGAAACAGCCUUAAGAGUUACAUUUGGUAGGAAAAAAAAAAAAAAAGGAAAAUGCUCAACAUCAUUACUCAUCAGGGAAAUGCAAAUUUCCCCACGAUGAGAUAUCACCUUACCCCAGGCAGAAUGGCCAUUACUAAAAAGUCAAAAAAACAAUAGAUAUUGCUGUGGAUGUAAUGAAGGGGAAUGCUUACACACUGCUGGUGGGAAUGUAAAGUAGUACAAUCUGUAUGGAAAACAUUAUGGAGAUUACUCAGACCUAUAAAGUGCAAUUACCAGUCGAUUCAGCAAAUCCCACUUAUGGGUAUCUACCCAAAGGAAAAUGAGUCAUAUCAAAAAGGCACAUAUAUGUUUAUUGUAGCACAAUUCACAAUUGCAAAGAUAUGGAAUCAACCUACGUGUCCAUUAACCAAUGAGUGGAUAAAGAAAAUGUAGCAUAUACACACAACAGAAUGCUACUGAACCAAAAGAAAGAAUGAAGUCAUGUCUUUUGCAGCAACUUGGACAGAACCAGACUCCAUUAUCCUAAGUGAAAUAGCUCAGCAAUGGAAAGUCAAAAACCACAUGUUCUCACUUAAAGUGGGAGGUAAGCUAUGGGUACACAAAGGCAGAGUGCUGUAACAGACAGUGGAGACUCAGAAUGGGGGAUGGUAAGAAAGGAAGUGAGGGAUGAAAAAUCGCCUUUUGGGUACAGUGUACACUAUUCAGGUGGCAGGAACACUAAAAGCCCUGACUUGACUGCUAUAUAAUUCAUCCAUGUAGCCGAAAACCACCUGUACUCCUAAAGCUGUUGAAAUAAAAAAAUAAAAACAAAAAAAGAGUUACAUUUGAGUUAUAGUAGCUUGUUCCAGCAUCAAUCAGAAAAUUGACCAAUUUAUCACUCACUAUAACGGCUGCCCUAAGCCCCUGGCAGGUAACAUUAAGAAAGGGAAAAAGCCUUAGAGUCCCAUCAUUUCAGGUCAUCUCUGUUGAAACCAGCCAUUUGCAAGACUGCGUCUUGGACCCUGAUCUAUUCAACUUGGGACAAUCUUUGUUCUAGCGUCUCUCUUUUCUGCAAUCAGCACAUUGGUUUUUUUCCUAAGGUGUGUGUGGGGGAAGGAGGGGUCUUUCUGAGUCUUUUCUUCCUUUGUGGCUUUUGCCCUUUUGGAGGAGGCCAUUCCAGACCCUUAGCUAAGUCUGCUGCUGAGAACUUAGCCUGCCGUUGCAUCUCCUGCAAUUUUCAUUUCUACUUUUGUUCCUAGUCUGCUCUAGACUCAGAAAGACCUGAUAUGCCACGUCAACCAAGUGAGAUACUGGCAAUGGUAGGAUGCCCUCUGAUUUUUGCAAUUUCUGUUGAAUUAUACUCUGCCCUAUAAAAGUCAUAUUAAUUAACCUGGAAUUCUCAAGACUGUCUGCAGCUAUCUCUGUAUAUUUCCAAUAAGCCUCCAAAAUCCUUUUUCCCAAAAUGCUAACGAGCUCUUCUCCACUUCUUGUCUAAUUUUUUGAAUCUUGUUGAUGCCUUUGGACACCCUUCCUGAGCCUCAACAAUAUACAAUCCCAAAAAUGCUGGAUUUUUAUCUUCCUCCCUGUCCUUCAGAUUCCACUUGGGGUUAUAAACGGGCAUUGCCAGAUUGGUGCUGGCCCUCACCUGGUUAUUAGAAUCUUCUGUGUGUGACUGGUCUACCUUCUCCGGAGCCUUUUCUAGCACUAGACAAUGCUUUUUAAAUGUCAACAAAAUGCUAAGGAGGCCCUGAACAUCGGCCCAGGUGAGAUGAUGAUAGACUCAAAAAGUUCAGUUAUAUAUUUUGGGUCAUCCCUAUAAGCAGGUGUAUUAGUCCGUUUUUCUAUUACUAUAAAGAAAUACCUGACACUGGGCAAUUUAUUUAAAGAGAGGUUUCAUUAGCUCACAGCUCUGUAGGCUGUAUAGGAAGCAUGGCGCCAUCUGCUCCUAGCGAUGCCUCAGGAAACUUACAGUCAUGGAGAAAGGCAAAGUGGGAGCAGGCAAAUUACAUGGUGAAGACAGGAGCAAGUGGUGGGGGAGGCGCUACACAUUUGUCAACAACCAGGUCUCACAAAAGUCACUAUCAUGAGAAUAGCAUCAAGGAGAUGGUGCUAAACCAUUCAUGAGAAAUCCACUCCAUGAUCCAGUCACCUCCCACCAGGCCCCACCACCCAAUACUGGAAAUCACCAUUUGACAUGAGAUUUGGGUGGGAACACAGAUCCAAACCGUAUCAGCAGCAUUGUUUCGCUCCCAGUAAUACAAACCAGACGUGGUGAAUGGGCUGCACACACACAUCAUUCCAAUAAGCUGUCCUCCUUCAGCCAGACGCCCAAGCAGGGACCUGUCUCAGAGGAAACUGCCCUACAGGGAGGAGUCGCAGACCCUGGCCAAACUGUGUCUCUUGGUGGGUACAGAAGGGUGAGACCGUUUCUCCAGAGUUCCCAGACAUCUCCUUGGUGAGAGGAGAGAGUGAAGGAAAAAGGAGAGAAGGACCCAGUGCAACUAAGGUAGGGGUUCCAGGUCCAGAACGAGGAGGACUGGCAGGAGUCAGGAAAGGGUUUCUCAAAGGUUUGGGAGUCUCAGGAGUUAGAGCCACUGGAGAAGCUGAAGCUGAUCCCAGGGAAUCAGGCAGGGAAUCCUGAGAUAGCAAGGCUGUGGUUGCAAAGGGUUCUUCAUUUAAGGGAGAAUUCUCCUCUGUUGGUAAUAUUGGAAACCUUAGAGGAAAGCACAGGCUUUUAACCAUCCUUCUUAAAAGCCUCUGUCUAUUGCAUCAAAACCUUAUGUUUAAGUUCAUAAGUUCAUUCUAAUAAAGGAGCAUAAAAGCCUGGGCAUAAGGAAUUUUAUCCCACUUGCCUAUUCAACAGCAAAAUGAACCUACUUCUGAGAUAGUAUUAUAUUGUAAAGACCUACGGAGAGGCCAGACUUCUCCAGAUUCCAAAGAAUACUGAGGCCAAACAGUAUUAUAGAAUAUUGUGAUUUUCUUUCAUUCCAUGGGCUCAUGACUGUAUUCAGACUAAUUUUAAAGAAUGCACCCAAGUGAGCUGCCUCUGGGAUCAAAUUCUGAUUUCCCAUGACUGUAUAGACACAUAGACAAACAAACAUCAAAAUACAGUGUGAUUGCAGUAGUGACUAACAAGCUCCAUGACGUUCAAAACUGAAAGAGAUAAGGGGUUAUAUUAUCCUGUGACCCCAGAGAGCUCACAACUGUUUCUCCCAGGAAGUCCCUGCAGUUGCUUAUGGAGUGCUUUCCAUUCUCAGUUGGGUGGACUUAUUUAACUACAACAAGUGGAAAUUCUUUCAGAAUUCCCCAAAUUGAGAAGCUCCCACUGUCUGGUGCCCACAAAGGACACUCACCAUCCAGACACAGAUGUCAAUUGUCAAAGGCUGUUCUUCCUAGGCAAUCAGGAAUGCAGUUGGGGCCAGCACAGACAGGGCCAAAGAGACCAAAAGCAACCUUCUGCCUACCAACCUCUAUGUACCGGCUCCACCACCUGCUGCCCCACCUUGGGCAAAUCACAUCUUGGCACCUUACUUUCCUCAUCUGAAAAAAUGAGGAUGGUGAUAACAGUACCUACCUCAUAGAGUUCUUGUGAGGAUCAAGUGGGUUAAUUAGUGUAGGACCUUUAAAAGGGGUCUGGCGUAGCACAUACACUCAGCGAAUGUUAGCUAGCAGCAGUGGUGGGAAGCCUAAGAGCAGAAGGACGAGGAAGGGUAGCCAUCCUCUUUAGAUAUCCCAGCCUGGUGCUCUGGGAAAGCCAGCUAUGCUCUGGGCUGAAGUUCUCCUCUCUGAUCUGUGCUCUAUUUGCUUUCAGUGUUAUCAUGUUUUUAAAUCCAUAAGCAACUGCAGGGACUUCUUGAGAGAAAUAGUUAUGAGCUCUCUGGGGUCAUGGCAUAAUACAACCCCUUAUCUCCUUCUCACAGAAGCUUUUGAGUUCCCUAUUUGCCUUUUCCAGGUGAAGAGAGCAAACAUCAGUCUGGAAGAGGAAAACCUGGCCUCUGGAUUCCACCUGAUUUCAUUUCCAUUAUCUUCCCUUCCACCCAGAUCCAUGCCAGAGGUUUUUCAGUACUAAAUAGAAAAAGAGAGAAAAACAAACAGCUUUUUCACUGGAUCCUGAAAUGUUUUCCUCAGAGGCAAGGCAGGCUACACCAUUCUAGUUCAGUGGUGUUACUAACCACUGGAGGUCAAGAGUGGAAAAGACAUCGUUCCUGACAUAUCAAUAUACAAGUUCUUCAAGUAAAGCCGAGGAACUCAAAGCACAGCCUCCUCAUUUAACAUGUUGAUGUAGAUAGACAUCUGGAAGCAGCAGAGGACAGUGUGCUGGACAAUGCUGGCCUGCUCUGGCUUCUAGACAGUUAUAAACCUUCCUUCCUCUCAGGCCGUCAGGCUGGGGCCUCAGCAGUGAAACUCAGUAAGACUCAAAGCACUUGGCAAACAGAGAUGAUGAUAACAGAGAUCAGAGGGAAAAGAGUAUCUUCCUGCCUUUUGAGUUUCAAAACCCUAGUACUUUAUGGAAACAAAAGCCUCUGGCUCAAAAUGUUUGAGGGAAAACCUGGUAGAUGGGAGCCCAACACCCUACUCCCCCAGCUGGCCCCAGAGAUAACAGAAGAUCCUUCUUGGGGGAACUGAAAAAAGAGGAAGAGAUAUGAGGGCUAGGGUUCGUGGGUCUCAACCCCACUCUCCAUGUCAUGCCCUGCAAAAUCUGUGUAGACCUCAAGAAGAGGAGACCUGGACCUGUGCUUUGUUUCCCAGGGAAACACCUAGAGAAGCAGCUAGACUCAAAAAAAUUAGAUGGUUAAAGGUGGUAACUAAAAAGAUGGGGUCUUAGAUGGCUGCCAGAAACUUCCAUACAGCUCAGACUAGCUUGAAAAUCAGAAGUUGAUCCCUAUGUGCCUGAGACAUGGUAUAUCAAUGGAACUGAAAGGGAGGGGGCAAGAGGGUGGGACCCAGGGGCAUCCCUGCAGCACCUAUAGAGUUCAACAACUGUGGGCCCAAUGCAACAAUGGACAUCACAGUGGACACUGUACAGACAAGUGAUGCAGAGAAUCAGUGGGCUCCCUGAGGCCGCAGGAUAUUAUAACCCCUUCUCUCUUUCUCACAGAAGCACUUGAGUUCCCUAUUUGCCUUCCCUAGGUGAACAUAAUGAACAUCAGGUCAGAAGAGGAAAACCUGGCCUCUGGAUGCCACUUGAUCUCAUUUUCCAUUUUCCUCCUGAACCUUUUGUAAAACUUUGUAUUAGUCUGUUUUCACACUGCUGAUAAAGGCAUACUCGAGAUUGGGUAAUUUAUAAAGAAAAAAAUGUUUAACAGACUCAAAGGUCUGGGGAGACCUCACUAUUAUGGUGGAAGGUGAAAGGCACAUCUUACAUUGCAGUAGGCAAGAGAGAGCAUGUGCAGGGUAACUCCCCUUUAUAAAAGCAUCACAUCUCCUAAGACUUAUUUGCUGUCACGAGAACAGCGUGGGAAACACCCCCACCAUGAUUUAAGUACCUCUCAAAACAGGUCUCUUCCACAGCACAUGGGGAUUAUUACAAUUCAAGAUGAGAUUUGGGUGAGGAAACAGAACCAAACGAUAUCAUUUUGCCCCCAGCCCCUCCCAAAUCUCAUGUCCUCACAUUUCAAACCCAAUCAUGCCUUCCAACAGUCCCCUAAAGUCUUAACUCAUUUUAGUAUUAACUCAAAAGUCCACAGUCCAAAGUCUCAUCUGGGACAAAGUCCCUCUAUCUAUGAGCCUAUAAAAUCAAAUGCAAGGUAGUUGCUUCCUAGAUACAAUGAGGGUACAGGUAUUGUGUAGAUACACCUGUUCCAAAUGAAAGAAACUGGGCAAAAUAAAAGGGGGCUACAGGACCCAUGCAAGUCCAAAAUCCAGCAGGGCAAUCAAAGCUCCAAAGUAAUCUCCUUUGACUCUGUAUCUCACAUCCAGGUCAUGCUAAUACAAGAGAUAGGCUCCCAUGGCCUUGGGCAGCUCCACCCCUGUGGUUUUGCAGGGUGCAGCCCCCUUGCUGGCUGCUUUCAUGGGCUGGCAUUGAAUAUCUGUGGCUUUUCUAGGUGGGUGGUGCAAGCUGUCAGUGGAUCUACCAUUCUGGGAUCUGGAGAACGGUGGCUCUUUUCUCAAAGUUCCACUAGGUAGUGCCUUAGUGGGGUCUCUGUGGGGAGGUUCCCACCCCACAUUUCCCUUCCACCCUGCCCUAGCAGAAGUUCUGCAUGAGGGCCCUGCCCCUGCAGCAGACUUCUGCUUGGACAUCCAGGCAUUUCCAUACAUCCUCUGAAAUCUAGGAAGAGGUGUCCAAACCUCUAUUCUUGACUUCUGUGCACCCAUAGGCCCAGUACCAUGUGUAAUCCACCAAGGCUUGGAGUUUGCACCCUCUGAAGAAACAGCCUGAGCUGUAUGUUGGCCCCUUUUAGCCAUGGCUGGAGUGGCUGGGACACAGGGCACCAAGUCUCUAGGGUGCACCCAGCAGGGGGUCCUGGCCUUGGCCCAGGAAACCACUUUUGCCUCCUAGGCCUCCGGGCCUGUGAUGGGAGGGGCUGCUGUGAAGGUUUCUGACAUGCCCUGAAGACAUUUUUCUCAUUGUUUUGGUGAUUAGCAUUUGGCUCCCAUUACAUAUGCAAAUUUCUGCAUCUGGAAUGAAUUUCCUCCAGAAAGUGUUUUUCUUUUCUUUUGCAUUGUCAGCCUGCCAAUCUUUCAAAAUUUUACGCUUUGCUUUCUCUUGAAUGCUGAUACCCUAAAUCAUCUCUCUCAAGUUCAAAGUUCCACAAAUCUCAGGGCAGAGGGAAAAUGCCACCAUUCUCUUUGCAUAGCAACAGUGACUUUACUCCAGUUCCCAACAAGUUCCUCAUCUCCAUCUGGGAUCACCUCAGCCUGGAUUUCAUUGUCCAUAUCACCAUCAGCAUUUUCAUCAAAGCCAUUCAACAAGUCUCUAGCCUAAAGUUCCAGACUUUUCCACACUUUUCUGUCUUCUUCUGAGCCCUCCAAACUGUUCCAACCUCUGCCUGUUACCCAGUUUCAAAGUCACUUCCACAUUUUUGGGUAUCUUUACAGCAGUGCUCCACUCUCCUGGUACCUAUUUACUGUCUUAGUCCAUUUUCAUGCUGCUAAUAAAGACAUACAUGAGGCUGGGUAAUUUAUAAAGAAAAAGAGGCUUAAUGGGCUCACAGUUUCAUGUGGCUGCGGAGGCCUCACAAUCAUGGGAGAAGGUGAGAGGCUUGUCUUCCAUGGUGGCAGGCAAGUGAGAGCAUCUGCAGGGGAACUCCCGUUUAUGAAACCAUCAGACCUCAUGAGACUUAUUCACUAUCACCAGAACAGCAUGGGAAAAACCCACCCCCAUGAGUCAGUCACCUCCUACCAGGUCUCUUUCAUGACACAUGGGGAUUAUUACAAUUCAAGGUGAGAUUUGUGUGGGGACACAGACCAAAUCACUAAAACCAAAUCACUCCUAGACCCUAGCCAAGCCUGGGCUAAAAGAAUGAGAAUCCCUAAUUUGUCUGAGGCUGGGCGCGGUGGCUCAAGCCUGUAAUUCCAGCACUUUGAGAGGCUGAGGCAGGUGGAUCACAAGGUCAACAGAUCGAGACCAUCCUGGUCAACAUGGUGAAACCCCGUCUCAACUAAAAAAAAUACAAAAAAAUUAGCUGGGCAUGGUGGCGCAUGCCUGUAAUCCCAGCUACUCAGGAGGCUAAGGCAGGAGAAUUGCCUGAACCCAGGAGGCGGAGGUUGCGGUGAGCCAAGAUCACGCCAUUGCACUCCAGCCUGAGUAACAAGAGCGAAAUUCGGUGUCAAAAAAAAAAAAAAAAGAAUGAGAAUCCCUAAUUUGUCUGAGAUUCAUUUCCCAUCACCCUAUCAGGCUGACAGUUUAAAAAACAAAUUGAGCUUCACAUUUGAAAGAGUUAUUUUUGCAAUCUGUGGCCUGAAAUACACAUGCAUCCUACAAGUGUGCAUAAUAUUGCAUAAACCAUUCAGCCUGGGUUAUCACUACUGAAGACUUCUCUCCAAAUGGCAGAUUAGUAAACUUAGGAAAAAUAAGUAAAAUUUGUUGUGGGUUGAUUAUUCGGGGGGUUUAUUCCAUGUUUGGCAGGACACUGCCCACAUUGCAACAGAACAGGACAGUCGCCAUAGGUGAAGGUAGGCUAAAGAGGAACCUUACAACCCACAAAUCCCACGCUGUUCCCAUGGGGUAUAGAGACAGUUGACUAAUGUUCCCAGAUUCCCAAGGAGAUUUUAGAAUUCUGAGAGGAAGGGUGAUCCAGAAGUGAUCUCAGACUUGGAAGAGAAAGUUACAGAGGACAAUGAAUGGCAGGGACUUUCAUCAGCAGGGGAGGGGAGUACCAUUAGACACCUGAUGCUCAGGCCUCCAGCUGCACUGCAGUAAAUACUACAGGGACAGAAAGUGACACCCAUAGACUGAGCAGGAUGAAGCCCCGCAAAAAGUGCCCACUGGAAAGCAGCCACCCCUUUUCCAAUGUUGGAAAAUAUAUCCUCCCCACCCCACUGCACUCAUGUCACCUCAGGAAGAAAGGCAGGUGAAAAUAUAAAGAGGAAAGAAGCUGUGAAAAACAGCAUUUAUCUGACAAUAAUAAGCUUUGAACUUGACAGUGAUUGAGAAAAUAACAUUUGGGUGUGGCUGAAAAAAAAUCCCUAGAUUAGAUUGGAAAUACCAGAAUCAGAAAGAUUGAAUUAUCUUUCUUCUCAAGAGCUACGUUGAGUUCAGUAUUUGAAAAUAAUGUCACAUUUGCUUAAGCUGCUGUUCAUGAUGGUCUGAUAUAGACCUGUAAUACUGGGCGAGAGAAAUAGAAGAAGAGUAGUAUCGUGGGAGUGUUCAGGGGACAAGAGCAGAGAGCAGCAGGCUACUGUGAGCAGGGGGGUCCAAAUUACAAAGAGAUGUAAUCCUAAAAAGGGGCUUUUAUGGGGGGAAACAUUGCAUUUAGGCUAGAAAGUCACAUUAAGCUUCACAUUAGGAAAUUCACAAAGGUAGCAAUAAAGAGAGAUGAAAGAGGAUGGUGUUGGAAGCAGAGAAACCAGAAAGGAAGUUAACUUACCAGUCCAGGAGAUAGGAGUAGCAAGGUCAGAAGAAGGGAUGGAUUUCAGAGAAAUUUAGAAAGUGAAAUAAUAAAGAGAACUUGCUGCUUGAUACCUGACUAAAAAGACGGUGAGGGGUUUCGGGUAACUUGUCAAGGGUGAGAUAUUGCAGGUAAUCGGCUGCCAGCUCGUUUGGACUACUGAGUGCAUGUGAGUGUCAUUCACUAGAUUUACCAGGAAAGGCAGGCUGAGGGGGUGGCAGGUUAGAUGGUGAUAGGAAAUAAAACGGACGUGCUGACGAUGAGGCACCUUCCAACAUUCAGUUGGACAGUUGUGCUAGCCUGAAAUUCAGAGCCGAGAUCUGGAAAGGAACAAAUUCUUGGGAGUCAUGAACAUACAUAUGGUAGCUAAAGCAUUGCAAUGCAUGAAGUUACCUGGUAGCCAGACAUAGAGUGAAAAGAGAAAAAGGGUCCACAGGCAGAGAUGUCAGGAGGACGGAUGUUGGGCAGAGCAGGGAGAGCCUGUAAUGAGCUCUGGUGAUGAGCAGAUGGGGUUGGGGAGGGAGCCAGGAGAGGCGCUGUCCAGAUGAAUGAAUGGAGGGUUUGCAGAGGGAGUGGAAGCUGCAUCAGAGUCCUGGAGGAGCCGGGUAAGCUGGCGCCUGUGGAUCAGAAGCUCUGAGUUACAGCAUCACUGCAUUUCUUCUUUCUCUAUGGCUACAUGGUGCUAGAUGAGCUCCGGGCUGCUGUACGCUGCCUAACUGAGCCACCAACCCACAUGGGACUUAGUUUUUGUUUUUCUCCCAUUGCUCCCCUGAUUUAUCUUAGAACAAGUAAGUUAGCUUCAAAGUGACAGUAGAAUGGCAAGGACUAUGUACCAUGUGGGGGCAAAUCUGACCUUCUGCGUGGAUCCCAGCCCCACUGUCCCUGUGACACUUGCAUCCAAUCUGCACGUCCCCUGAACUCCAGGUGCUGGAGCUGCUAAGAGUCCCCAAAAUACUUUGGAGAAUGAUGCCGGGGCUGUAUGGAGCGCUCUUACAGUGGCCCCCAGACAGGACAGAUCCAUGCUUUCAACUGUUGUGAAACGUUUUCUAUGGCCAUUUGUCUCCUUAGGAGCUGGACAGCGCUCAGUGCUAACCUCAUUUUGGUUUUUGGACCUGCAUAAACUUCUGGCCCCUUUUGCUUCCACCGCAUGGGUCAUUCAGAGUAGAGGCGAGCAUUUUGUGCUUCAAUCACAAAUGGAAUCCAAAUGCAUUAAUCACACACUCCUCAGAAGGGCCCACGCGAAGAAGCUGGGGCACACAUAAAAAGCAGCGAGAGUCUGGCUAUGAUCGACCCCCUCUUCAUCCCAGCAGCUCAGUGAAAGGGUCGAUGGAGGCACUUCUCCUCUCCCCUCGUGCCUCUCCUGGUCUGCUGGCUGCUAAGCUGUGGGAAGCCACUCUGCCCCUGCGACCCAGGGCAACGCUAUCAGUGGCAAAGAGACAGACCUGGGGAACAGGGUGGCCAGCUCGCGGCUGAGGCAGUGGGGGCUGUGUAUCUUGGCUGCUUCCCUGCCUGGAAUCCCUUUGCCCUGGGGCCACAGCACCCCAGACCACCCCCACAGACAUGCCCUGCAACCUGGUCUGACUUUGGCCAGCACAGGACCCCGUCAGCAGUCCCCGGGGAGUUGUGGGUUCCCUGGGUAUUUAACUUCGGGGCAGAUCACCCCUCAGGAAAGGGGCAGCGCAGCCCAGCAAAGCCCCCACUGGGACAAAGGAAACGUGGACUCGAGGCUAACCGCUGAAAGUUUCGGGGCACCACCCACCCCCAAAGAUGGAGACAGGGUCAUCUCUCACCACAGACUCCCUUCCCAGUGCAAAGCAGCCAUUCUUCCUGUCGGGGCCUACUGAGCAUGCACUGAUUAAGGAUUCCAGGAAUUGAGGUUGGGUAAUAGGAGCAGCUUGCUCUCCUGCAGCUGACAGUUUAUAAAUAUAGACUUUCUGGGUCCAAAGGAAAAGAAACUGUGUCUCCGAUGCUGCAGGCUUAGCCACAAGCAAAAUUAUGGUCAGCAGAGGGUCUUGCAAUCUCUGGGUCUCUCUUCUUUUGUCAACCUGAUGGGGAUACCCAGCUCCCAGAACAUCGCACAUGGCUUUGCCAACAGUCACACUCAGUAAGUCUUUUAUGAGCGAAUUAAAGGAACGAAUGAAACAAAUGAAAAAAUAAGCAGCACAAGCUCUCAGAGCCUGCAGGCUGCUAGUAGAGACACAAUAGACUACAAAGCAAUAGUAUACUGUCCCAUGGGGACUCUGCACUGCUUUUAAUCCUUUUUCUGCAUCGUCUUUUCUCCAUGCCUCUUACACAAUCACUUCACUCAUUCAACAAGUACUCACUGGGCAGUGCCAGUACACACACCAGCAGUGAACAGCUUAUAUUCUGAAAGGGAGGGGCUGAAAACACAGGUUUUAUGGCUGCAGAUAAUUUUAAAUGAAUGUUAUUAAGGCCAUAGCAAAGGAUGAUGUGACAGUGAUGAAGACUGGGGGACAACUUCAGAUAAGACACUCACGGCUUCGCUGAUGGAGGGAUAUUGGCCAUCUGCUGGCUACUCAAAUGGAAACGGGCCUUUCCGCAGAUGGCAUCAUCAAGGAGAAUGAAUUUCAGACUGGAAAAUCCCAGCAGAGGUAGUAAAGAGGACAUUCAACUGUAGAAGCAAUAGGAGUCUAGCAGCUAAUGAUUUUAAAUUCUGCUCAGAAUAGCUAAAAGCAUGAGGGAAUUUACAGAUAUAAUCCCAGAAAUUGAGUAAUCUUUAAUUAUGGAGGACAAAAGGGGAGCUAAACACAAUUAUUCACCACAAGGGAAGAAAAUUAAGAUUUGGGUCCGGCUUGCUGAGUUUAAUGUGAAUUCUCAGCAAAAUGCAAGACUGACUUUCAAAAAGCUCGUUUGCAUGUCCUCAAGGAUUUCCUUGUCUGCUCAGCAGAUUGUCCACCUGACCCUGAGCUGUGAGUGUUCAGAGCAUAGACCGCCUUUGUCCAAACCUGAGUUCAUUACGUCCCUGACUCAUCUGCCCUUGAUUUACAUUUAAUGUACUCACAUUCACUCAUUCAUUCAUUUCACAAAUACUUAGUGAACCCUAAAUGGCAGUUAGGGUGCUAAAUGCUAGGGAUACAAAAAAAGAAGAAUAAAGUGCAGUGUUGCCUGCAGCAACUUCAGAAAUUAGGUGGUAGGAAUUCCAAUCCAGAGCUGCUGCUCAGCUGGCUAUGUGCAUGUGGACAAAUGCCUUAAUUUCUCUGCAUGCGGCCGUUUCCUCAUCUGUCAAAUAGGGAUGGCACAGACUUGACACUAAAAUAUGUAUGGACAGAGGGAAGAUGGGAAGAGGGAAGGAGCUGGGAGGGGAAAAGGGGCAGAGGAAGGAAGGAUUGGCACUUACCUCAUUCGUGAGGACUGGCUGAAAUAGAAACACCUCACGCAGCACCUGGUGCAUGGUAAUAUCUAAAAUUACUGCCCCUCACUUCAAAGAGCUCACCAUCGAGUGAGGAGCUAGGCACACAGUUCAGAUAAUGGCUAACAUUCAUUGAGUGCGUAUAAUGUGCCAGUUACUGUUCUAAACUUUACACAUUUAGACUCACUUCAUCCUCAGCACUUGGUGAGUUUGGGUCUCUUACUAUUCUCCUGACUCCAUAGAUGAGAACUGCAGGUAUAGAAGGGUUAAGUAACUUGCCCAAGGUCACAUAGGAGUGAGUGGGCAGCAGAGCUGGGACUCAAGCCCAGAUACUUUGGCUCUAAUCACUGCACCCCCCUGUCUCCCGCAAGUACGAGCAACUGUGAAUAUGCCAUGGGCACAUGCUAUCAUGGUGGACUUGCAGCACUAAGGAAGUGAUGCGGCCGAGGAAUUCUCCUGGGGUAGGGGGAUUUCUGCAUUUGGGAAUUUCAGGAUGCCCAUGAGGAGGGAGUCAGAGGAAGAGGAGGCAAAGAGAAGCAGAGACAAGACAAGAGGAGCCAAGAACUGGAGGGCACAGAGGAGCAGACCCAUGUUGAAGCAGGGAUGGGUGAUGAAGGUCACGCUGGUCGUGCAGCCACAUAUACCAUGAGAGGGGCUUGGACUUUAUCCUCUAAGCAAUGGGAGUCACAGGAAGCAGCAUGAUCAGAAUUGCACUUUAGAAAGAUUACUCUGGGGGCUGACUGGACAUGGAAAAUGGAGGGUCAUGGACUACGGAGAGCCAGUUGGAGGGUUGCUGCCAGGGUGCCUCUGGGAUUGUGGCCAAAGGGAUGGACCGGUUCACAACAUAUUUGGAAGAUACAGUUAGAAGAGAGCACUUCUCAUCGAAUUAGAAGGCUGAAUGAGAAAGAGAGGAUGAGGACAUCUCCCAUCCCCUUGGAAGCUGGGAGGAUGGUGGUAGCAUCUCCUGGACUAUGGAAAUGCAGGAAGAAACACUGGUAGAAAGCUCUCAGAAACAAGCAGCUGCCUGCAUCCCAAAGUCGGGGAGUUCUCCACCUUCCUUUGAAAAUAUUUCUUUUAGAAUGAGAAACUUUAAACAUAUAGGAAAGUAGGAGGAAUAGUACAAUAAAUACCCAUCACCUGGAUUCAACGGCUCUUCCACAGUGUUUCCCACAUCGGCUUCACAUACACAUAAUAUAGAUUAUAUUUUUAUUGUUAUGCAACAUUUCAUUUUAGUUUUUACUGUUGUCAAAUCAUUUUAAACAAGCUACAGACAUCAUUACAUUUACCCUUAAAAACUUUAGUGCAUAUCGCCAAAAAAUAUACAGCUAAGCAAUCAGAAUACCAUUGUCACACUUUAAGACAAUUAAUAACUAAUAUCUAAGGCCAUAUUAAAAGUUCCCUAACAGUCCCCAGAAUUAUUUUAUAGUACAUUUUUUCCAAAACAGGAUUCCAUUAAUGACCCCAUAUUGCUUUUGUUACAUCUCUUUAGUCUCUCUAAAUCUCCAACCGCCCUUGCCACAUGAUUCUCCUGGGUGUUUUGAUAUUGACUCAUUAAAGAAACCAAGUCAGGUUGGUUUCUUUCCUUUCUAUCCCAAGCCAAGUAUAAUAUCUCACAGCCUGGGUUUGUUGAUUGUUUCAUCCCAUGUCACUUCUAACUUGUUCCUCUCUUUCUCACAUUUCCAGUAAAGUGGAAGUUCUAAAGGCUUGACAGGAUUCAAGUCAGACAUUUUGAUGAGCAUGUGUCAUUGGUGACACCAUGGCAUUCAUACAGCAUCCAACACCAAGGUUUUGGUUUCAAAAUACCAUCCUGCUAUUAUGCUACCAAAUGAAACCUGACUGAUUUCCGGUUGGGGACAGGGAAUAAAGUAGGUGGUCCUUGUUCUAGAAAGCACAGAAGUAUCCAUGUACUAACAGGUCAUGUCAAAAGAACCCAAGAGCCAGCUUAAGGGCAACCACUGGUCAAAUCUGGAACACACUGAGCAUCAAAAUGAAUGACUGGAAAUGAUCAAAACACAAUACAUAAAAAUCUAUAAUACUCAAUAAUCAAUCAAUAGUAAAAAAACAUAAAUCCUCUGUUACUCUAAGAAGUAGGAAGGCCCCAGGUACUGUUGAGGCUGUUUGCUCUCAAUAGCAUCUCAAUCUGAUGUGGGAUUCUGUAUCUUGAAUCCAGAAUACUCUGAUCUUGACUUAAACUUGGACCAAGAACACAGCUACCCCUCAUGUGUGUCUGGAACAUCUGAUUUAGGUACCCACGAUGAUUCUCUGCUGCCAGGAAACUAGUCUCCACUGAUAUUAAACAACUGCACGGUAAUUUAAGCUUCAGGCAACUUGACAAUUUCUAUAAAUCCCAAUGUUACUUGUCAAGACCUUCUCAAUUAUGAAUUUGUUCAUCGGUUUUUGGAAUUAAUCCUAAAAAAACUCAAGUUGCUAAGAGGUGUCAUUUUUUAACGACGGUAGUUUUAAUGUUGCCUUUUGCUGAUGCAGCACGUCCUCAGGAUUAACUAGGCUGCUCUCUCAUAGUCAACCUACACCUGAGCCACCUCCCAAUCUUUGUAUCUGUCACUCAACAUUAAUUUGAGAACAUCCUGAAUAGCCAGGCUUGUCAACUAUUCAAGGGAAGCCAAGAAGCAAUACUUGCAUAAAAUAAAUAGACCUUUAUACCACUGGAGGUAAAAAAAAAAAACCCUUUCUUUGUAUUUUCACUGCAUUUUCAGAGGAAAGAGGUAAAGCCAUGAUUCUCCUGGGUAUUUAAUCAACAAACCUAUAUUUAAUUUGACCACUAAUAUGCAAGCUCCAGGGCCUCUAUCAUAUUUCUUAAUAGUAGCAUGAAGCUCAAUCACAUUAAUGGUCUCCACUGGAAACAGAGCGUACCAUUAGAGCAGGAGAAACUCCCUUUCCCAGAGCUGCUCUUUCACCUUAAAGAAAACAUUCUUCACAAGUGUCCAUGGUUUAGACAGUGUAGCAAGUGGUUUAAGUCAUCCUUACUUAUAGCUUCCUUACUUGCCAAAGUGAAGAUUAUAAUCUUGUUUAAUAAGCUUCCUAAAAAACUCCUUUUCGAGACAAGCAGACUUGGCAAGAAGUAUAAUACAAAAAAUAAUGGACUAGCCAGAAUAAAAAUUCCCAGCCUAAAUCACAGGCAGAGCUACUACCAUACCCAUUUUAUAAAACUUUCCAGCCCCUAUUUCAUGCUUAGAAGCUCAUGGCCUUCUAAAAUCUGAUGCUUUUAGUUCGGAAACCAGUUUCUUGAGUUCCAGCUCUUCUGUGCAGACAAUUCUCUGCAAACCGUUGUGAAGGCAACCCUCUUCGCUGAGGUUGCAGCAACAGCAGGUUCACUUGGCUCUCUCCAUUGGGUGGUGGCUUUGGCUUCUCAAAAAGAAGGUCAGAGAAAGGUUUCCAGAACACAAACUCUGUGGAAGCAUGGAUCACGAGACUCAAAUCAUUUCCUUUGCGAAGACUUCAGGAAUUCCCUCUUCAAAUCUUUUUUAGGACAAGACUGGGAGUGUGAACAUUUCUGUCAGCUUCAACUUCUUUCCCCCCCAGUACACAUUGUUAAGUUUUGCCAAACAUUUUUAAGUUCCAACAGACAUGUGCAGGAGAUGCAGGUUUGUUACAUAGGUAAACAUGUGCCAUGGUGGUUUGCCACAGCUAUCAAAUCAACUACGUUUUAAGCCCAGCAUGCAUUAGCUGUGUUUUCCAAUGCUCUCCCUCCCAUAACCACCCACCUCUAACAGACCCCAGUGUGUGUUGUUCCCUUUCCUGUUUGUUGGCCGCAUGUAUGACUUCUUUUAACAAGUAUCUGUUCAUCCUUUGCCCACUUUUUAAUGGGACUUUUUUUUUCUUGUUAAUAUGUUUAAGUUCCUUGUAGGCUCUGGAUAUGAGACCGCUGUCAGAUGGAUAGAUUGCAAAAAUGUUCUCCCAUUUUGUAAGUUGUCUGUUCACUGUGAUGAUAGUUACUUUCGCUGUUCAGAAGCCCUUUGACUACAUUCAAUUGUCAAUUUUUGUUUUUGUUGCAAUUGCUUUUCACUUUUUCAUCAUGAAAUCUUUGCCCAUGCCUGUGUUCUGAAUGGUACUGCCUAGAUUUUCUCCUAGGGUUUUUAUAGUUUUGGGUUUUACAUUAAAGUCUUUACUCCAUCUUGAGUUUAGUAUGGGCUGCAGUUGGCUGAAUCCUGGCAUAGAGGAUUGGUUUGCUUUAGUAGAAAAUGCUGAAUGGUUUUGCAGUGUGGCUGUUCAUUUAGUACUCUUAAGCAAUACUUUGUAAGAAUUCGAUAGAUGCUUCACAUUUUUGUCGACACUCAAAAGUAUUAAGUCUUUAGUUUUUCCAUUGUUGUAACUGUGUAGCAUGUCUCAUGGUAGGUUUACGUGUGAUCUCAGUAACGAUGCUGAACACUCAAAAUACAUGUAUUGGCCAUUUGUAUUUCCUGUCUUGUGAGGUGCUUGUUCAAGUCUCCAUGAUCCAUGCUUCCACAGACAUUUUUGACUGGUUUGUGUUCUUUCAUUUGUAGCUGGUGUUUUGGCUAUUAACCUGUAUUUAUCUACUACUGCUUAGCAAUAUUAUCACAAACUUAGGGGUACAAACAAACAUACAUUUAUUAUCUGACAGUUUCUGUGGGUCAAGAGUCUCAGCAUGGCUUAGCUGGGUCCUCUGCUUUAGGAUCUCUCACAAAGCUGCAAUAGAUAUGUUGGCCAGGGCUGGGGUCUCAUCUUUUGCUCAAAUGGGAAGGAUCUUCUUCCAAACUCACGUGGUGGCAGCGUUCAGUCCCUUGUGGUAUAUCCGCUUUCCAGUCUGCUGCUUGCUGCCUGUUGCCUAGAGGUUACCCUUAGUUUCUUGCCACGUGGGCUUUCCCAACAUGACUGCUUUUUUCAUCAAAGCCAACAAGGAAGAGUAUCUCCUCAUGAGAUGAAUACUACAGGCUUCUGAAACAGCAUCACAUACAUAAUCACAUACCUCCCACCACCGCUGCCAUAUCCUAUUGGUUAGAAUCAAGUCACACAGGUCCCAUGAAAAUUCAAGGGGAGAGGAUUACACAGGGUGUGAAUACCAGGGGUCAGGGAUCAUGGGGACUAUUCUAGAGAUGUCUUCUACAGAGUCCUCAUUAGAUAUGUCAUACAUAUCUUCUCCAGUCUGUAACUUGCCUUUUCCUUUCCUUUGAUAGAAAAAAAGUUUUGUUUAAAAUAAAAUCAAAUGUAUCCACUUCUUAAUUUUGUAGAUAGUGUUUUGUUGUUACUGUUUUGUAGAGUCAGGGUCUCAUUACAUUGCCUGAGCUGGUCUUGAAUUCCUCAUCUCAAGCAAUCCUCCUGCCUCAGCCUUUCAAAAUGUUGAGAUUGCAGGCGUGAGAUACCACACUGGCCCUAGACAGUGCCUUUUGAUUACCUGUUUAAUACUUCAUUGCUUACCUAAGAUAAUGAAGAUAUUCUAGUUUUCCUCUGGACUAGUGUUUCUCAACACUGGCAGUACUGACAUUUGGGGCUAGGUAAUUCUGGUUGUGUUAAUUCUUCUCCUGUGCAUUGCAGGGUGUUUAAUGGCAUCUCUGGCCCACCUACCAGAUGCCAGUAGCAGCUCUUUCCAGUUGUGGCAAUCAAAAACCUUGCCAAAUGUCUCCCAGGGCUAAAAGGCCCCAGUUGAAAAGUACUGUUCUAGAUGCUUCAUAGCUUAAUCUUUGAAUCUAAUGGCUGUAAUCUGAGUUAGUAUUGCUUCACAUUCUUCCAUGUGGAUUAAUUUCUCUACAUUCAUUUACAAUUUCUCUUAUUUCUCUACAUUUCCCUCAUGAAUUGCAUGUAUUGCUGUUGUCUUACAUCAAGUAAUCAUAUAUGUAUGGAUUCUGUUCAAUUUAUCUACCUUCAGUCCUCAUGCCAGUAAAACACGCCAGUAGUUUUUUGGUAGGUCUUGAAAUCCGUUAAUGUAAAUCUUUGAAUUUUGGUCAUCACAAUUGGCCUAUUUUAGGUCCUUUGCAUUUCCUUCUAUAUUUACAACCAACUUGUGAAUUUUUACACACAAAAAAGCCUGAGAUUUUUACUGAAACUAAAACUAUAGAUCAAUUUGAGGUAAUUGUAGUCAUAACAAUAUUGAAUAUUUCAGUACAUAACAUGAUAAAUCUUACUUAGUUCCUUUUAAUCUCUCUCAGUAUUUUCUGAUUUUCAGUGUUGAGGUCUUGCAACUAUUUCUAGAUAUUUGCUAAUGUUUCCCAGCUUUACUGAGGUAUACUUGACAUAUAAAAGUGUAUAUACUCAAUGUACAACAUGACUGUAUAUAUGUAUACAUUGUGGAAUAAUUGCCACAAUCAAGCCAAUUAACAUAUCCGUCCAUUCCCUCACAUUUUUUUUCCCUUUGGUGGUGGUGGUAACUUUUAAGAUCUACUUCCUUAGUAUUUCGUAUUUUUUAAACCAUUGCAAAUAACACCGUUUUCCUAAUUUUAUUUUCUAAUUGUUGGUUGUUAGUAUGUAGAAAUAAUUUUUUGUAUCAGUCUGUAUCUAGUGAUCUUACUAAAUUCAUGAUAAGAUACUUUGGAUCUGUUUGUAUGCAAUCAAGUCAUCUGUAAAUAACUUUUUACUUGUCUUUACUCUUUAUUAUCGUUUUCUUUGCCCUGACUGGGAUAUGCUAAACAACGGUGAAUAGAAGUAGUAAUGCUGAACAUCCUAGUCUUUCCUCCAAAUUUAGGGAGAGAAAUAAUUCAACAUGAAAGUACUAUUAUGAUAGGUUUUUUGUAGAUACUCUUUACUGUAUUGAGGAAUUUACCUAGUUUCUGAGAAGUACAUGGUUAGCUGAAUUCUGUCAAAUGCUUUGUUUUUCCUUUUUUGUGCAGCUACCAUAAUGGUCAUAUAAUUUUUCUCCUUUAUUCUAUUAAUGUGGUGAAUGACUUGAUUUUUGAAUGUUAUAGCAGUCUUGCAACCCUGAGAUAAACCCAAUUGGCCAUAAGUUUCUAUCCUUUUUAUGUAUCCUCUUUUUACAUACGGCUGAUCAUUUUGUUUAGAUCACUGUCUUUUACGAAAGGUGCUGGUCUGUGAUUUUCUUUUGUCAGGUUUUGGUGUCAGAGAAAUCUGGGUCUCAUAAAUUCAGUUGGUAAAUGUUUUCUUUUUCAUUAUGCUCUGGGAGUUUAUGUGACAUAAACACAGUAUUUCAUCUUUAGAUGACUGGAGAAAAUCACUGAUGAAACCAUCUGGGCCUAGAGUUUUCUUUGUAAGAAAGUGUUCAACUUUUAAUUACAUUAUAAAGUCUUUAUACCACAGAAAAAACAUUUCUGAUUAUGAAUGGAAGACAACAGAAACAUUCUAAAGAUGUCAACUAUAUUAAUUUUUGAGAAAAUAUACAUAACUAUAAUACACAGAGAUGUGGAAGCAUGAGAGGUUUUCAGUAAACCCAGAAAUACAGAAAGCACUGAUAUUUACAAACCCAUACAUAGCAUCAUUUGUAACUUAGCAUGCUAUUAGCGUUUUCUGCUCUCAAGCACUCUAUAAAGGUUAUUUUCAUGUCUGGAUUUCUGAUUUAGCUGAAAGAUGUAAAAAUUCUACAUAGACAACCUGCUUUGGCUAUAUCAUCAGGAAUGACUUAAAAGCAAAAAUGACAUUCCAGUUAUUCCACACACAAAUCCCUGAUGUUAACAUCCUUAGCCUAAAAAUAGCCAUUUGGAAGGAAAGCCCUACUUCAAAGCAAAGGGAAUGUAAAUAAGACAAUAACUGCUCCUGGAAAUGUCAGACUCAAAAUUGAGUUCUUCCGAUGGGAAUUGACUGUAAAAUAACAUCUCUGAUUUGUUAUAUAACAAAACAUAAUGGCUUCAUAAACUUUAUAUAAACAUACGGUCAACUUCUGAUAGUUUCCUCUUAAAAGGGUAGCUCUGAAGUAAUUAUUCUCUCUUGAAACUGUAUUUACCAAACUGCUUUUUUCUCUGAUUUCAUUCAUUCCUUUCCCCCAUUCGCCUCCCCAUUCCCAGUCUAGAUUAAUGAACACAAUAUUUGACAAAUCAGAAACUUUGUACACAAAGAUCUUUUAUUUGUGGUUAGACUUACACAGUUCCAACAAGUAAACAUAAUUAACAAAACACUUCAACGUACCAGAGGAGGUGCCCCGGUAUCAGUAGAAGGCACUGAUCAGACCACAGAAGAAAGCUUGACACGGAUCUUCAUAUGUGAAUGCCAGCUUCAAUCCUGUCAAAUGAACAUGCUGUUCUCUCAGUGGUAACAGUCAGUAGGCCAGAGCAGAAGAACUGGAGACUCUUAUCCACUGGUGUAGGCAGCCAGGCUCUCUUGAAGUAUUAUUAUAGAUGACAUGAAGGUGACUACCAUGGUAGCAAUGACAACAAUCUCGGUUACAAUGACAAAGCUUGAGGCCAUCAGUAGAAGCUUGAUGCGAUCUAGAAAUCCUGGUGGAGCCUCUCAUCAGCUGGUCAACCCUGAUAGAUCCCUUGGACGGGCCACAUAAUCCAUUUUCACAAAACUGAAUCCAGUGCAUUGUGUUAUCACUGCAACACACUAGAUCUGGUAGUUGCUAAUUUGGAAAAAUGGUAAGUACUAUUACAUCCUUUUAGAAAUGAGUCAAAUCUACGCUAUAAGAAAAACAUAUUAACACACAGGUACUUUGGGUGGUAUGGCUUUAAACUUUGUGCUUGGCUAUAAAAAGCAUUAUAAGCAAAGUUAACAAAUAACAGUUUUUAUUAAAAAGAAAAAAAAAGAAGUACUUUACUGUACCAAAAUUAGUUUAAGACAUAUUAAAUCAAAUUUUAUGCAAAUACCUUUACAAAAACGGAAUUGGAUAAUUAAACAGAGUGCUUUUUAUACAUUAAUACUGAAUAUGUUAAAUUACUAUAUAUUAAAGAUAUAAUUUGAAAACUAGAGCUGUUUCAAAAUACUGUGUUCAAAUGUCAUUUUUUGGAAACCCAGAGAAAUUGCCAGACACCAUGUUGUCCUUCCAUAAGGGGUUUCUCUUCUGAGUCAGGAGAGUCAUUAAGUAACAUUCAAAAAAAAAAAGAGUAAAACAUAAGGUCCAAAUUUAAUUCACUUCCUGAGACUCACA